AGCCGCCCCCGAGGGCCGUUAACAACCGCCCACGGCCCGGCAGCAGAACAUCCCAGCUCGGCUCAGGCUGGCCCCCUGCGCAGCCGCCUACACGCGACUCCAGUAAACUCAGGAUGAGCCUUUGCUCUGUGACUGAAGAACAGCAUUCCACCAGCACAACAGUGAGCGGCCUGUCAGAGCAGUAACAAGUUUUACUGCCAGCCAAGCAAGGGUCACUUCGGCCUUUCAUCCCGUGGUUCCUGUGCAGAGCAGUUGUUGGACAAUUACUGAAACACACCUUGAGCAGUAGCAUUGGCCUCUCGUCAUGCAGGCAGAAGUGCUCCAGGUCUGAGAGAUCUCAGUGUCAGCUGGUGUGUUUGGUGUGGAGUCAGCUACCAGACUGUUCCCAAGGGCCACAUCGCGCCCUUGGUCCACCAGAGCCCUCUUCCCCUCCACUUCUGGACCAACAUUGUUUUUUUCCACUUAGUCAUGGUAGAAACGCUGGAUCCAAAGGCCAGCUGACAUCAUUUGGAGCUUCCUGCUGGUUUGAACAGCACUGGUCUGCUCACAGCUGCCAGGUGCAAGAGAGCACUGUAUGGAUGGAUGUUCCAGGAAACUGCAGAUUCAGCGAUUUCUAUCCAAAGACAAAGAAACAGCCCCAUGUUUGGGGGCUUAGUGGAGGUAAAUUCCUCUGAUAUAUGUUCUAAGCAUCUCAGGCCAACAUGACUUAAAACAAAUGUAAUGGACUCAUUUACAACAUAUUACACAGUUUCACAAAAGAAAUAAGGAUCUUCUCCUGCUCAGUGCAAAGCUCCUGAAAUUUCCUUCUAAGUCCCAAUAGAGUCAUUCUGCUCCUUCAGCUCAUGUGUCUAAGGAACGUAGAGAUGUUUCUGUUUGGCAAGGAUAAAUUAGUGAAAAACACAUCCACUAAAACUGUCAGCAGUGAGCAGAUUUUGGUUAGGGAGAAUAUCACGCACUGGAAAAUAUCCCAGAAAGCUGCAUGCAGAGUAGCAAACAGGAUGAGAACAAAGUUAUUUACCAAUACUAGCUGUGUUCCCACCAAGCAUAGCCCUUGUGGUAACUUGCCUAUUCUCUGUGUAACAAGGAAAGGAGUAAACCUGUUGAUGAAAAUAUUGAACACCAGACUUCUGUUCCAAAGGGAUGAUGUGUAGUCCACUGAACUUACUCACUCUGCACUGUGGAGCUGACGAGCAGAAAGAAAAUGAGUCUUAAUUGUGUGCAGCUUCCUAGAGGAUCAGCUGUGUGUGCCCCUCCGCUCUCGGGGAAAAAGGCUGUGAAGUUUUCCUGAAGGUUUCUGCUUUCCACCAGGUCAGGAAAAGAAGAAAGGAGGAUCGCUGUGUUUCUCUCUCCCACCUCUGCCCUGCCCCCCACCUCCCAAGAAGAAUAUCGAGCUAUAGUGCUAUUUAAACAACCUCAACAUUUUCUUCAGUCCCGUAAAACGGGCUCUUCCUCUUGCGUUUUCAGCGCUAUUUCGUGCCUAUAAUAAGGAAAUACUGUAUAAUGCUCAAUCAAAAGCCGUUUCAGAGUUCAAGAGUCGGUGAAAAGCAGCAACUUAAACCCGCUCCUAAUUUGACUGUCAAAGCACGUUGAUAGCAGUGGGUGGUCACAGUUCGAAACGAGACUUCCCAGCCCCUGUAUUGCUAUCCAAAUGAUGACCGUGUACGUGGGCUCCGCAGGGCUCGGUCCCCGUGUGUGCUGGUACACAGCGCCGGGCUCGGGAACGACCCCGUGGGGGUGAGGGGGCAUCGCUCCAGGACCGGCACCGUGGCCGCGGGACGAACCCAAAGCCUCUUGCCCUAGUGCCCGGGAGCAGGAGGUUUCUUUGGAGAACCCCCCUUGAAGCCCUUUUGUCCCGCUCUGCCCGAGGACUGAUGUCCUCCGCACCCAUCCUGCCGGGGGGUCCCGGGGCUCAGCGGGAUCGGGCCCUUCUCAGCUCACCCAUCAGAUCCCUCCCGCAGAGCGUGACCAUCCUAAACGGACCUCUUAUCGAUAGCGAUUUUUAAUCUCGAACUCACAAAGGAACACAUUCUCCGUUCCUUAAUAGAGCACAACGCCCAUUGACUUCUAUCCUAUUGACUUCAAUGGGAGUUUCGCUCCAUUAAGGACUGCAGAAUUUGGCCUAAACUGACCGCAAUAAUUUUGCUGCCGGUAAUGGAGCUUCAAAGCCGUCUCUAAUUAGCCGAUGAGCAGGAAUCGUUAAACAUGCUGUACAAUUCCGUCAGCUACGCGGGGGCUGCGGAGCAGCUGAGAAGUCCCGUUCAGUCCCGGGGAAGCUCAGAAUUCAGCUACCGCUGCGACUUCUGCAGAGACAGCGUGGGGACGGGGUGUUGGACGGGACAUUCCAGGUUCCAUAGCUGCUCUGCUAGCGUAGAAACAGUAGAAAAGAAAGCACUAAAAAGCUAUGGCAGAUUUGAUCACACAAUGACUUUUUUCCUCCUUCGAAGAUGCGUGAAAAAGAAUCAUUGUAUGUGUUGCUGCUUCUAUUUAUCAAAGAUCAGCCUAAUUAGUUUUUUUUAUCCAUAACCCAGAGUACUCCUAACGAGUUAUGCAGAAUCCCACAGUGCCUCCGAGCCGCAGUUUGGGCUGCGCUCAGCUUCGCUGCGACCUGGCACCUUCCCGUCCAGCACGAGCAAACUCCGUCCCUUCGAACCGAUCUCGGCUGUAUGGGCACUUCCAUUGCACGCCUUUCGUGGGCACAGCCCCCUCCUCGAAUUCCGCAGCUGUACAUCCAGCAGCGUGCAGAAAUGCCCCGCAAAGACCGUGAUUUAAUAGCCGAGUUCUCAAGUGCUUACUAACCUGCAUUUCUGCAGAGUCUAUUACCUUUGAAUUUGAAUUUGGAAAACAUUGUUUUCCUUUAGAAAUAAUACAUUCGACUAGCGAGAAUCGCGCAAAGGUGAAAUACAGCAGGAUAUCUAUAUAUAAUUCUUAAAUAGCAUAAUUUUUGAGGGCAUUUCCGUAUUAUCUCGAAAAACUAACCCGGAGGAGAAGAGAAUACUCCCGAAAUCUCUAUGCAUACGCAGCGUCGCAGUAAUCUGUUUUAUAAAGAAAUCUGCCUGUAAGUUUUGGUCAGUAUUCUAGGCAAAAUAUGCUCAACAGAUGAUAGUGGAGAUGCAGCCAGAAAACAACUCCAGCUAUUUAAACUGCCAAAUGAGACAUAAAGCCGCAUUGUAAAAAUCAUCUGGAAAACAGGUUUUCCUAUUGAAGUCGCUAUGUGUUAAUUACUGUGAUCUGGAAGAGCUCUGUAUCUAAACGCCUGGAAGCCGACUUUCACCCCACAUAUGUAAAUGAAGAAAGUGCUGAAUCUAAGCCAGAGGGUUCAUGUUCGGAUUCAUUUCCGUGCAUGCCUAGACAUUAAUAUGUGUUCAUGUAGGGUUCGUACAGUACGAGGUGUUAUUUCCUUAUAAAGAAACACCAGGUCUCGCUUUCCAUUCUCCUUACAAAAUUAUUCGCAUUAUUUAUGCUACAUUGAGCGAUCUAAUUUCUUCGUGAUAGUCAGCUAAUUGCUCUGGCAGGUAAUUAGAAGCGGUUUACAACGCAAAGGGCUUUUGCGGUGCCCCUCGGAUUAUUAAGUUGCUCUGUAAAUUAUACCAUAUUUGCCGAAGAGAGCGGGGGAGGAAGGAGCUAACGAUCUUUUGAGAAGUUCUUUUCCUGCGAUCGGAGCCGAAACGCGUCCCUGUCCCCCCCAACACUUAAAAAAAUAGAGGGAGGGGGCUUUGCCGGGGCUCGUAGUCGAAUUAUUCUAAAGCACGCGAUCUGAAGCCCAUUUUGUUCGUGCUCACUGGUCCAGAAUAACUUGGCCAUAAUGGCCGGGAAUGGGCCAGGUCUGCAGCAAGCUUCCUGCGCCGUGGCAGCAUCCAGCGGGCAUGUGGGAAAAGAAUGGCUUAAAUGGGGACAUCUGUUCAGUGCUGCUCAUCUCGCUCCUACAGCCAGGUCAGGUGAAGGGAAUAACCUGCUCGCCACCUCGUCCCCUUCCCGCUGCCCUCCUGCCACCCCCCACGCCCUCAGCCCGCUAAUCAGCUGCCGGUGUGGGGGAGCGGAGGGCGACCUAAUUGCUCUGCCAUAUAGGCAAAUUGCGACAGGGAAAGGUGGCGAGUACAUUGUAAGAGGAGCAGUAAAUAUAUCAAUAUUAGGGUCUCUCGAGUCAAAUCGCGGAGGCUCCGCGCAAGAGGAGGUUGCCAUACGCGCUCAGUGCGCGACCGCCGCGGACAGACGUUGCUGCUCACCCGCAGGUACGGCUCGCUCGGAGCCGCGGGGCUUCUCGCACUUCGCAAACGGCAGCAAUGGCUUUGGUUUAUUAUUUUUUUUUCCAGACUGUCGCUUUUCUGUUGGUAGUUGGUAGAAUAUACAAAUGAAUAGAUACAUACGUUCGCGGAAAGCUUUCCUUUUCUCCUGCGUUAUCUGCAGACGGAUUUUUUUGCAGACCGUGUAUUUGCAAGUGUCUAAGCACACCCACAUAUGUACAAGCACACACACACCGGAACGCACGUAUGUACCCAUCGUUACAUACACCUGUACACAAGCAACAGUAUUUCGGGGCACGAGCCGGCUCCAUGCAGCCCAGUGGGAGCCCCCGCCCUGCUCUCCGAUCUCUCGGACGGUCACUGUACGUCGCCACCCGUCUGUGCUGCUCAUCCAAUGAUUUGAGCACAUGUGUGGUUAAACCAUCGGACACGGAGCGGCUCCCAGAUUAUUUGUAAUUAAACACAAUUCCCAAAGUAAC